rnacentral:misc_RNA from 1 species
UUUCUCAAAGUCAUUCUUCGUCUCUGAGUUAUCGGCUUUCGUCUUUUGCCGGGCUAGCGGCUCCCUCUGCUCCUCGGGGCUGGGGGAGUCUUCGUCCUCCUUGUCCCCAAUGUGGGUCGCCCCAAAUGUGGGUCGCCUUCCUUACCUUCGGGGCGGGAUGGUUGUGAAUAAAUAACUGAGUUUUUGAGUAAUUUUGAAGCAGAUUUGUGGGUAUUUGACGAAGGUUUUCUUGAUCUGCAUCUGAA